rnacentral:tRNA from 1 species
GUUUAUAUAGUAUAAGAAUUAUAUUUAACUUCCAAUUAAAAGAUCUAAUGUUAGUAUAAAUA